GGUCAUCUAGUUUAGUUAUAAAAUACAGGUUUUGUAAAUCUGAGAUAAUGUUAUAUUGUUGGCCU
rnacentral:tRNA from 1 species